rnacentral:rRNA from 1 species
UACGAAGGGGGCUAGCGUUGCUCGGAAUUACUGGGCGUAAAGGGCGCGUAGGCGGAUGUUUAAGUCGGGGGUGAAAGCCCGGGGCUCAACCCCGGAAUUGCCUUCGAUACUGGACAUCUUGAGUACGGGAGAGGUGAGUGGAACUCCGAGUGUAGAGGUGAAAUUCGUAGAUAUUCGGAAGAACACCAGUGGCGAAGGCGACUCACUGGCCCGUUACUGACGCUGAGGCGCGAAAGCGUGGGGAGCAAACAGGGAUUAAGAAACCCGUGG